rnacentral:rRNA from 1 species
AGUUGUAACGGCUGGACGGGCACUGCCUUACACACUGCAAGUCGAACGGUAACAGGUCUUCGGAUGCUGACGAGUGGCGAACGGGUAGAGUAAUACAUCGGAACGUGCCGAUCGUGGGGGAGUAACGGAGCGAAAGCUUUGCUAAUACCGCAUACGAUCUACGGAUGAAAGCAGGGGGACCGCAAGGCCUUGCGCGGACGGAGCGGCCGAUGGCAGGAUUAGGUAGUUGGUGGGACUAAAAAGCUUACCAAGCCGACGAUCUGUAGCUGGUCUGAGAGGACGACCAGCCACACUGGGACUGAGACACGGCCCAGACUCCUACGGGAGGCAGCAGUGGGGAAUUUUGGACAAUGGGCGCAAGCCUGAUCCAGCCAUGCCGCGUGCAGGAUGAAGGCCUUCGGGUUGUAAACUGCUUUUGUACGGAACGAAAAGACUCCUUUCUAAUAAAGAGGGUCCAUGACGGUACCGUAAGAAUAAGCACCGGCUAACUACGUG